ACCCUUCCAAUCAGGGAAGCCCGCUAACAUCAGGCUGUCCAAGACUGACCAAUCAGGCAAGGACACGGGGUCUCCCACCGCCCUUUAUAAAAGCCGCACCGGACAUUCUGGCUCUGUUCGGCGGGAAGAGCGAGAGCUUUUUUGGGACAUGGUUUCCUCUGAUGAAUAAUUUAAGAACAAAGGGCCUGAACACUUCAAAAUCCAAACAUGAAGAAUCCUUGUUUCACAUGGAGGAAGAACACAAAAAAGAAAAAAUAUGUUUUUACAAAGGAGCCUGCAGGGAGGAGUUAAAAUACACUGGAGCCCUGGUGGGUAUUUCAGCCAUGGCGCUGGCUGCUCUGUGAGUGUACAGACACACACACAAAGAAGUUUCCUGUUUGCAGCACAAGUAGACUAUGGAUACGGCAGCCUCGCUGAAGGAAUUAACAGGCAGGCAGAAAAUAUAGAAAAAGAAGACCAGAAAACAUCACAAAAAUAAGGUACAGCACUGUAAAGGUUUGUUUUCUUUUGUUGUGUUUUGGUUAGUUUGUAACCGCCAAAUUGACAAAGCAUGUGAAUGCUGCACAAAGCUUUAUAUUGUGCUUCACAUCCAAUAUAGGGUUUAUUGCAGUAAAAGUUCGCAAACGGCGGCACCUUUGUUCCUGCAGCUUCAGGGAUGGAAAUCAGAGCAGGUCUCCACUGCUGUGUUUGCAGCUGUGCUCUUUGCUGAUAAACUGGACACACUGCGCAGUUUAUGCAGCGUUUUUCCGCAUAUGAAGCGCAAAAAUUCACAUCACGAUU